rnacentral:rRNA from 2 species
CGGUUUCUAUAAUGACAGUCGAGCGAUCUGAUGGGAGCUUGCUCCCUGAUGAUUAGCGGCGGACGGGUGAGUAACACGUGGGUAACCUGCCUGUAAGACUGGGAUAACUCCGGGAAACCGGGGCUAAUACCGGAUAACUUUUUUCUUCGCAUGAAGGAGAAUUGAAAGAUGGCUUCGGCUAUCACUUACAGAUGGACCCGCGGCGCAUUAGCUAGUUGGUGAGGUAACGGCUCACCAAGGCGACGAUGCGUAGCCGACUUGAGAGGGUGAUCGGCCACACUGGGACUGAGACACGGCCCAGACUCCUACGGGAGGCAGCAGUAGGGAAUCUUCCGCAAUGGACGAAAGUCUGACGGAGCAACGCCGCGUGAGUGAUGAAGGUUUUCGGAUCGUAAAACUCUGUUGUUAGGGAAGAACAAGUAUCGUUCGAAUAGGGCGGUACCUUGACGGUACCUAACCAGAAAGCCACGGCUAACUACGUGCCAGCAGCCGCGGUAAUACGUAGGUGGCAAGCGUUGUCCGGAAUUAUUGGGCGUAAAGCGCGCGCAGGCGGUUUCUUAAGUCUGAUGUGAAAUCUUGCGGCUCAACCGCAAGCGGCCAUUGGAAACUGGGAGACUUGAGUGCAGAAGAGGAGAGUGGAAUUCCACGUGUAGCGGUGAAAUGCGUAGAGAUGUGGAGGAACACCAGUGGCGAAGGCGACUCUCUGGUCUGUAACUGACGCUGAGGCGCGAAAGCGUGGGGAGCGAACAGGAUUAGAUACCCUGGUAGUCCACGCCGUAAACGAUGAGUGCUAAGUGUUAGAGGGUUUCCGCCCUUUAGUGCUGCAGCUAACGCAUUAAGCACUCCGCCUGGGGAGUACGGCCGCAAGGCUGAAACUCAAAGGAAUUGACGGGGGCCCGCACAAGCGGUGGAGCAUGUGGUUUAAUUCGAAGCAACGCGAAGAACCUUACCAGGUCUUGACAUCCUCUUUGACCUCCCUAGAAGAAAGGGAUUUCCCUUUCGGGGACAAGGAUUGACAGGUGGGUGCAUGGUUUGUCUUCAGCCUCUGGGCCGUGGAGAUGUUGGGGUUAAUUCCCCGCAACGAGCCGAACCCCUUGGACCUUAUAUUGCAAGCAUUUCAGUUGGGGCCCUCUAAAGGGGAACUGGCCGGUGGAACAACCCGGAAGGAAAGGUGGGGGGAUGGAGGUUCAA